rnacentral:rRNA from 1 species
GAUGAACGCUGGCGGCGUGCCUAAUACAUGCAAGUCGAGCGAACAGACGAGGAGCUUGCUCCUCUGACGUUAGCGGCGGACGGGUGAGUAACACGUGGAUAACCUACCUAUAAGACUGGGAUAACUUCGGGAAACCGGAGCUAAUACCGGAUAAUAUAUUGAACCGCAUGGUUCAAUAGUGAAAGACGGUUUUGCUGUCACUUAUAGAUGGAUCCGCGCCGCAUUAGCUAGUUGGUAAGGUAACGGCUUACCAAGGCAACGAUGCGUAGCCGACCUGAGAGGGUGAUCGGCCACACUGGAACUGAGACACGGUCCAGACUCCUACGGGAGGCAGCAGUAGGGAAUAUUCCGCAAUGGGCGAAAGCCUGACGGAGCAACGCCGCGUGAGUGAUGAAGGUCUUCGGAUCGUAAAACUCUGUUAUUAGGGAAGAACAAAUGUGUAAGUAACUAUGCACGUCUUGACGGUACCUAAUCAGAAAGCCACGGCUAACUACGUA